rnacentral:lncRNA from 1 species
AUUUGGGCUAAAUUGUGACCCUGCAUUAAAAAUCAGUGUUAGUCACAAGCAUAUUUAUUCAGUAUUCAUUUCUCUAGUUAUUUUAGUAGGAAGAGAAAGACAAAUUUACACAAAAGAACAGAUAGGGGAAGUAACUGACAGCACUCGUGGUACCUUGACUCUUCUCACCCCUCAGACCAUAUGAAGAAAGCAGAAUGAUGUGGGUCUUGCAUCUCUUCUGCACACAAAUUUCUGUGAAUCAAAGCUUUGACUGAUGCUUUUUGUGGAGAUUAGUCUUCAACAAUCCACGUAAGUUCAAAAACUGGAUACCUCGUUUGAUAUCCUUUUUCGUUUUGUUUUUAUGUUUCUGUGUUAUCUCA